GGCCGUGUGCCAGAGUGGACAAAUGGGGCGGAUUGCAAAUCCGCAGGCUUAGCCUACGUGGGUUCGAAUCCCACCGCGGCCU
rnacentral:tRNA from 1 species